GAUGAAGAACGCAGUUAAAUGCGAUAAUUAAUGUGAAUUGCAGAAUUCCGUGAAUCAUCGAGUCUUUGAACGCACAUUGCGCCUCAUGGCAUUCCGUGAGGCAUGCCCAUCUCAGCGUUAGAAAAUAUUCUCAAAUUUUAGUUUUGUGCUAAAAUUUGGAUCAUGUCAAGGAAGCUAUUACUAUUAUUGUGAUCGCUCUUUGGAAAUUGAUAGGUCUUUGAGUUGCUACUCAUAGAACGUGAUGAAUCUUUCUUCGUUCUAUUGUAAUUCACUCUGGUAGUCCUAAAACUUGUAUGCCUGUGGCAUAUCUUGUAAUUUGACCUGAGAUUGGGUAGGGAUACCCGCUGAACUUAAGCAUAUCAAUAAGCGGAGGA
rnacentral:misc_RNA from 1 species